UACGGGGGGAGCAAGCGUUGUUCGGAUUUACUGGGCGUAAAGGGCGCGUAGGCGGCCACCGCAAGUCGACUGUGAAAUCUCCGGGCUUAACCCGGAAAGGUCAGCCGAUACUGCGGGGCUAGAGUGCAGAAGGGGCAACUGGAAUUCUCGGUGUAGCGGUGAAAUGCGUAGAUAUCGAGAGGAACACCUGCGGCGAAGGCGGGUUGCUGGGCAUGUCCUGACGCUGAGGAGCGAAAGUGUGGGGAGCGAACAGG
rnacentral:rRNA from 1 species